rnacentral:rRNA from 1 species
AUUGAACGCUGGCGGCAGGCCUAACACAUGCAAGUCGAACGAGUGGCGGACGGGUGAGUAAUGUCUGGGAAACUGCCUGAUGGAGGGGGAUAACUACUGGAAACGGUAGCUAAUACCGCAUACCAUCGGAUGUGCCCAGAUGGGAUUAGCUAGUAGGUGGGGUAACGGCUCACCUAGGCGACGAUCCCUAGCUGGUCUGAGAGGAUGACCAGCCACACUGUAACUGAGCCACGGUCCAGACUCCUACGUGAGGCAGCAGUGGGGAAUAGUGCACAUGGGGCGCAAGCCUGAUGCAGCCAUGCCGCGUGUAUGAAGAAGGCCUUCGGGUUGUAAUGUACUUUCAGCGGGGAGGCGUUACCCGCAGAAGAAGCACCGGCUAACUCCGUGCCAGCAGCCGCGGUAAUAG